GGAAGUGAGGGUGAUCUGGCUGCAACAUCUGUCACCCCAUUGAUCACCAGGGUUGAUUCAGCUGAUAUGGCUGGCUAGGCGGGUGUCCCCUUCCUCCCUCACUGCUCCAUGUGCGUCCCUCCUGAAGCUAUGCGCUCGGUUGAAGAGGAUGAUUAUCCCUGAUAGAGGAGGACCGUUCUUCUCAGUCAAGGGUAUACAAGUAGCCGUGCUCCCCUGCUAGAACCUCCAAACAAGCUCUCAAAAGAGGAAUCAAAUGAUCCCCUUAUAUGGGCUUACUCUGACACGGUUUUCAACUUAAUGGAUAGUGCUAGCAUUUGUGAAUAG
rnacentral:sRNA from 1 species